UGGCGGCAGGCCUAACACAUGCAAGUCGAGCGCUACCUUCGGGUGGAGCGGCGGACGGGUUAGUAACGCGUGGGAAUAUACCCUUCACUAUGGAAUAGCCUCGGGAAACUGAGAGUAAUACCAUAUACGCCCUUCGGGGGAAAGAUUUAUCGGUGAAGGAUUAGCCCGCGUAAGAUUAGAUAGUUGGUGGGGUAAUGGCCUACCAAGUCUACGAUCUUUAGCUGGUUUUAGAGGAUGAUCAGCAACACUGGGACUGAGACACGGCCCAGACUCCUACGGGAGGCAGCAGUGGGGAAUCUUAGACAAUGGGCGAAAGCCUGAUCUAGCCAUGCCGCGUGAGUGAUGAAGGUCUUAGGAUCGUAAAGCUCUUUCGCUAGGGAUGAUAAUGACAGUACCUAGUAAAGAAGCCCCGGCUAACUCCGUGCCAGCAGCCGCGGUAAUACGGAGGGGGCUAGCGUUGUUCGGAAUUACUGGGCGUAAAGCGUACGUAGGCGGAUCAGAAAGUAUGGGGUGAAAUCCCAGGGCUUAACCCUGGAACUGCCUCAUAAACUCCUGGUCUUGAGUUCGAGAGAGGUGAGUGGAAUUCCAAGUGUAGAGGUGAAAUUCGUAGAUAUUUGGAGGAACACCAGUGGCGAAGGCGGCUCACUGGCUCGAUACUGACGCUGA
rnacentral:rRNA from 1 species